rnacentral:tRNA from 1 species
GAGGGUAUAGCUCAAGUGGUAGAGCGCAUGCUUAGCAUGCAUGAGGUCCUGGGUUCAAUCCCUAGUACCUCUU